rnacentral:rRNA from 1 species
GACGAACGCUGGCGGCGUGCCUAAUACAUGCAAGUAGAACGCUGAAGGAGGAGCUUGCUUCUCUGGAUGAGUUGCGAACGGGUGAGUAACGCGUAGGUAACCUGCCUGGUAGCGGGGGAUAACUAUUGGAAACGAUAGCUAAUACCGCAUAAUAGUAGAUGUUGCAUGACAUUUGCUUAAAAGGUGCAAUUGCAUCACUACCAGAUGGACCUGCGUUGUAUUAGCUAGUUGGUGAGGUAACGGCUCACCAAGGCGACGAUACAUAGACGACCUGAGAGGGUGAUCGGCCAAACUGAGACUGAGACACGGCCCAGACUCCUACGGGAGGCAGCAGUAGGGAAUCUUCGGCAAUAGACGGAAGUCUGACAGAGCAACGCCGAGUGAGUGAAGAAGGUUUUCGGAUCGUAAAGCUCUGUUGUAAGAGAAGAACGAGUGUGAGAGUGGAAAGUUCACACUGUGACGGUAUCUUACCAGAAAGGGACGGCUAACUACGUG